AUACGUAGGUGGCAAGCGUUGUCCGGAAUUAUUGGGCGUAAAGGGCGUGUAGGUGGAUUUUUAAGUCGUGUGUCUAAGAGCGGGGCUCAACCCCGUAUAGGCGCAGGAAACUGGAGAUCUUGAGUGCAGGAGAGGAAAGUGGAAUUCCCAGUGUAGCGGUGAAAUGCGUAGAUAUUGGGAGGAACACCAGUGGCGGAGGCGACUUUCAGGACUGUGUCUGACACUGAGGCGCGAAAGCCAGGGGAGC
rnacentral:rRNA from 1 species